CUCUUCCUGUUCACGGACGGGGAGCCGCCGCCGCCCCUUCCCCUUCCAAAGCUUGCGCUCUUCCUCUCUUCCCCGUCCCCUCGCGCCGCCGGCCGCCAGCCCGCCGACUUCUUCGCCUCCGGGAAGCACCGCCUUGUUUUCUGUUCGGCGGCGGCCGUUGUCGAGCUCGAGCCCGGGUACGGCGGCACGUUUUUGAGCAUGGCUGCGGCCCGAAGCGGCGGGGGUAGAGGCGCAGGGCGAGGAGCACCCGCCGGAGGCGCUCGAUGUGGCUCCCCCGUCACUCCUUCGACGCUGACUGCAGGGUUAGGAUUUGCUAUUGGAUUGGUGACUGCCGUGAGCUGAUAACAUAUCAGGUCACUAUGAUCUCCCGUCCCUAUUGAUCGAGGAUGCUUUGCUGGUUCUGCCUUUGCUCGGCCAUCCGAUUGCAGGUUGCCACCAAUGGGAAUACAGCCAGUGGACUGGUUUUGCUUGUCAGCGACCAGAACAAGAACAAGUCAGUUCUAUCUAUACAUAUUCAACUUUGGGGAUGAUUGGAGGCUCUGUGUUCAUAGUUUAUAUGGGUCAUCUUUAUAUCUGGGCCAUGGUGGCUGUGAGAGCUUUUUAACCUACUCAGAAGAUCGAGCGAAGAGAAGCAACUGUCAGGGCUCAGGCUGCUGAAUUGGUAGCUUAUAUGGCAUUCUGAUUAUACUAUUAUUUUGAACCAGAAAAUUGUCAAUGACUACAUAUAUCUUUGUGGAAACAAGUUUCAUCACUUCUUCACAGACACUUCUUCAUGGCAUUCUUAGUCGGGAGCUUGGUAACAGCUUAAACUUCAGAUCACUUGCUGUAUAGGGUUGUCAGCAGCAUAAUAAAGUGCCCGAAGUUUAUUCGCUAUUUUUCUUUAUAUUGCAGGUAAGGCUCAAUAUAUCUUUCAGUAUGCAAAUAAUUUCCAUUGAUGACGAUUUGUUUAAAAACUUCCAUCUCGUUUUAAGAAUAUUUUUAUCCUAUAAUAUGUGUAAAGAGCUUAUCGAAAUCAGAGUAAUAGACUGUAUCGUACCCAUGACAUUUACAGCCUGCUUGGUACUGAAUAUUGCAGGGAGAUGCACAGUACAUAUAAAACUAUGUAAGAAAAACUGUUUCUUGCACAUUUAGACGGAUUGUGAUAUAACUUAUAUAUUCCAUUUUACUGUAGUUUAGCAUGCUGUACAAUCCUGCUAUCCAUGGAUGAUUGCGCCUGUUUCUUUCAUGCGGUCCAUUUUCCCUUCAGGAUAUGUUUUGAAAACAUGUUAUCAUGUAGAUUUGUGCAGUCAUGGUCAACUGGUACAGAUAUGUAUAGUUUCAAAAGAACAUUACAGAUAUGUAUAGUUUCAAAAGAACAGUACGACAACUAAUUAUCGCUGAUUUGCAUCUCUCUUUUUGUUGUGUUGAUUGCUUUUGCCAAGUCAUUUUGUCCUUUACUAUAUUUAGUUAUUUACCAAUGCUUAACAAUACCACUUUUGCUUGGCUAUAGUAGAUCUUGCAGGUUGUAUGAUUCCUUUUAUACUUCCAAAUUUUUAUUAGUUACCACUAUAUACUUCCAAAUCUUGUACUGAACCUGCUCAAUAGUAGAACAGAGUUCAGUUAUCUGAAUCAUAGCAGCACACACAUACACCGCAGUUUGUAAUGUCAUUUACUAGGGGUUGCGUUAGGGUAUUUUAUUUCCAUUAUAAACUGAUAAUAAUUAUGAGUUUAGUAAGGUAACAAUAAUCUGGGUUAUAGCAGAACAUUAGAUGUGGUAUGCUUGUAUGAGUAGAAUGUAGAGUUUAUAAAUGAACUAAAAUCUGAGAGCAGGAAGUGGUAGGUUUAAUUUCAGUUAGAAAAAUUGGUGUACUGCAGCAUCAUAUAUUCAGGUAUUCCCUUGCAUUUUUUUGCCAUGUUCAAGCUUUAUACAUCCUUUGUAUAUGCAUAAAGUACGCAACAUAAACUGGAGUUCGUAGUGUCAGGAGUAAGAGGGGUGCAACUAAGUAGUAGCAUGUUACAGGAUAAGAACGGCUGUUUAGUUUAACAAUGCCCUUUAACAGUGUAACUCCAAAGAGGUCGGAUAAAAUGAAUUAUUGAUAUAUCUGAACUCUAGAGUAUAAGAUGCAUCUUCCUACGCUUCCUGAGAUCACGGUUAUCGUACCUAUUUAUUUGAGAUAUGCUAAGUGUUCCUUUGAUAGUAGAUGCAACUUGCAGCUAUUGUGGACGUUCGUUUGUUUGUGGGAAAUUUUAUCUCUUCCCUACAGUCAAAGCUCAUGUGCAAUUUGGAGAGAAAUGCACGCAUGCUAUCGCUGCAUUUGACAAUUCCUUUUAGGUAUCAAGCCAAUAGCGGCUUACGUUUCCUGGUCAUUUUUCUCUUGGAAAUGGAAGUUGUUGCUUCCUAGGUGAGCUGAGGUGAUAACUGAACUCUCUUCUACUAUUGAGCAGAUUCAGUAUUCACGUAUAUUUUCAUUAGCCCAAGGAUAGUUUUUAUUGUGUUGUGGCUGUGGGCAUCUACCGAAAAAAUAAAAGAGGAUGAGCGAGACUACUACAGCGAGAGACGGUGGCCAUGAAAGCUAUGGAGUAGAUCGAAACUUGCUUUGUGUAGUAGUUCUGAGAGUAGAUCUGAGAGUAGAUCCAAACUUGCUUUGUGGAGUAGUUCUAGAUUAGCAACAUCAUGCUGCCUUGCAAUUUUCCCUCUUCUGUUUGACCCCUUAACCUGUUCUGGGAACGUUGGGGGCCACGGCGCGGAGGGGAACAACGAGCAGCGGAGGCCGGUUGUGCGAGGCCUCCGCCUCCGUCUCCGCGGUUGCCGC